AAACUUAUUAACAAAAGCAAAACAGACAAAAAUUACUUUAUGCAGAUUUUGUAUCUAUAAAAUAAAAUAUUAUACCUACCUGCCUACCCAUGAAAAAAAAUAUACCGAGCCAACUUAUUUUUUUGGGGAAAAAAAUAAAAUAUUUUACCUACCUACCUACCCUGUUUCAAAACAAAGGGUCGGAAAAGGGCAAACAAUCAAUAUUUUAAUUUAGGCCUUACUGAUAAAUGUUUUUUGGCAGUCAACAUUACACUUUAACAGCAUUAAUC
rnacentral:lncRNA from 1 species